UCCGGCUUAUCACCGGCAGUUUCCGUAUAGUUCCCGGCAUUACCCGCUGGCAAAUAAGGAUGAGGGUUUCGCUCGUUGCGGGACUUAACCCAACAUCUCACGACACGAGCUGACGACAGCCAUGCAACACCUGUGUGUGGUCCAGCCGAACUGAAAGGUUGCAUCUCUGCGACCUGCGACCACCAUGUCAAGGGUUGGUAAGGUUUUUCGCGUAACAUCGAAUUAAACCGCAUGCUCCACCACUUGUGCGAGCCCCCGUCAAUUCCUUUGAGUUUUAAUCUUGCGACCGUACUCCCCAGGCGGAGUGCUUAAUGCGUUAACUACGAAACCGAAGAGUAAACUCCCCGAUAUCUAGCACUCAUCGUUUACAGCGUGGACUAC
rnacentral:misc_RNA from 1 species